rnacentral:tRNA from 1 species
GGGCUCGUAGCUCAGUGGCCAGAGCAGGGGACUCAUGAUCUCUUGGUCGUGGUUCGUCGUGGUUCGAUCCCACCUAGCCCG